UGUCCCAUGGCUUAGUUGGUUACGGCGUCCGACUGUCAAUCGGAAGAUCGAGAGUUCGAGUCUCUCUGGGACAG
rnacentral:tRNA from 1 species